rnacentral:rRNA from 1 species
UACGUAGGGUGCAAGCGUUAAUCGGAAUUACUGGGCGUAAAGCGUGCGCAGGCUGUUGUGCAAGACAGAUGUGAAAUCCCCGGGCUUAACCUGGGAACUGCAUUUGUGACUGCACGGCUGGAGUGCGGCAGAGGGGGAUGGAAUUCCGCGUGUAGCAGUGAAAUGCGUAGAGAUGUGGAGGAAUACCGAUGGCGAAGGCAGCCCCCUGGGCCAAUACUGACGCUCAUGCACGAAAGCGUGGGGAGCAAACAGG